GGGGGCGAAAGGGUUCGACGGGCAGAGUUGAGGCUCAGGCCGCAUGCCGAGGUUGGUUUUCCUCGUAAAUCAAGACCAAAACAAAUGUAACUGCAAAUCCAGUUGCACUCGCUGCGUAACUGACGCAGCCGGAUACCCGGGCUGAUGCUCGCAGGCUCAGGCUAUCCGACGUAUAGCGGGCUCGGUUCGGCGGUUCUCACUCACCGCAGAACUUAAACCUAUGAGUGAUAGCGACUGAAAAGCCUUGUCCUGCCGGGCUUUCGGAAGCGAAACCUAAACGGCAGAUCUAAGCAUGUAGACGCUUGAAGUCGAAACUGUUCGGACGGGGGUUCAAUUCCCCCCGCCUCCACCA
rnacentral:tmRNA from 1 species